UGGGAAUGUCGAACUCAAUUUUCUGCGGAAAUGUCGAUCCUGUCCUUCUCUUUUGAAGGUAUCGACUUCCUUGCCAAAUGUCGACGCCUAUCCCUUUUCUGGGAAUGUCGAACUCAAUUUUCUGCGGAAAUGUCGAUCCUGUCCUUCUCUUUUGAAGGUAUCGACUUCCUUGCCAAAUGUCGACGCCUAUCCCUUUUCUGGGAAUGUCGAACUCAAUUUU
rnacentral:lncRNA from 1 species